AGUGAACGCUGGCGGUAGGCCUAACACAUGCAAGUCGAACGGCAGCACAGUAAGAGCUUGCUCUUACGGGUGGCGAGUGGCGGACGGGUGAGGAAUACAUCGGAAUCUACCUUUUCGUGGGGGAUAACGUAGGGAAACUUACGCUAAUACCGCAUACGACCUACGGGUGAAAGCAGGGGAUCUUCGGACCUUGCGCGAUUGAAUGAGCCGAUGUCGGAUUAGCUGGUUGGCGGGGUAAAGGCCCACCAAGGCGACGAUCCGUAGCUGGUCUGAGAGGAUGAUCAGCCACACUGGAACUGAGACACGGUCCAGACUCCUACGGGAGGCAGCAGUGGGGAAUAUUGGACAAUGGGCGCAAGCCUGAUCCAGCCAUACCGCGUGGGUGAAGAAGGCCUUCGGGUUGUAAAGCCCUUUUGUUGGGAAAGAAAAGCAGCAGGUUAAUACCCCGCUGUUCUGACGGUACCCAAAGAAUAAGCACCGGCUAACUUCGUG
rnacentral:rRNA from 1 species